UCGCCCUGUUUAUCAAAAACAUGGCCUUGUAUAUAUGUAAGGUCUGGCCUGCCCACUGAUUAUUUGAAGGGCCGUGGUAUUUUAACCAUGCGAAGGUAGCAUAAUCAUUUGCCUUUUAAUUGAGGGCUGGAAUGAAGGGUCGUUCGAGGGAUUAACUGUCUCUAWCCUUUAUUUGAAAUUAAUCUUUUAGUGAAAAAGCUAAACUAUACUUGAAGGACGAUAAGACCCUAUAGAUCUUUAUAGAAACAAAAUUAGAAAUUGGUUGUAAGUUCUUUUUACCCCUUCUAUUGAGUUGGGGCGACGCUAUAUGAAGAUAUAACAUUUAGUUUAUUUAAACACUUACAUGUGAUGACAAGAUCCUGGGAUGAGAAAAGGAGAUAGUUACCUUAGGGAUAACAGCGUAAUGGUUUUUGAAAGUUCAAAUUGACAAAACCGUUUACGACCUCGAUGUUGGUUCAGGGAUCCUAUUUAGCGCAGUAGCUUUAUAAGGGAGUCUGUUCGACUUUUAAAUCCCUACAUGAUCUGAGUUCAAACC
rnacentral:rRNA from 1 species